UUACGGCGGCCACAGCGGCGAGGUACCUCCCGUACCCAUCCCGAACACGGAAGAUAAGCUCGCCUGCGUUUCGGUCAGUACUGGAGUGGGCGACCCUCUGGGAACCCCGAUUCGCCGCCACCACUC
rnacentral:rRNA from 1 species